GAGGGAAGGCCCCUCGGAGCCGCCAUACAGGUGGAGGCUCCAAACCACCGUAAGCUGCUGUGGCCAAAAGCCAUGGUGGUGAGCGUUACGGAAAAGGCGAAGCAAGACUUCGUCAGGU
rfam:Peptococcaceae bacterium BRH_c4b BRHa_1001649, whole genome shotgun sequence.